GAUACCCGAUCCAUCUCUCUUUAGCUGGGGAAUUUUCUCGCUGGUACUUAGCAUGAAACAUCCUCCUUUUUUCUCUCUCUCUGAAAGCGCUCACAAGGGGAGGAACAGCUUGCUGCAUGCGCUCAGAAGAAACCUUGCUAUAUGAGCAUAAAUGCGCACAAGUGUAACAACACUGUGAUCUCACUAUCCAUGAGUUAACUUUGCAACACCAUCUGUGUCUCUAAAUUUUGAUUUGGCAACUUUGCUUGGAGAGUAAGAGAUUGUUGUUCCAUCACGUUUCCGUCCACGGGUCAAUCCAGACGUUUCGAGGGUAUUUCUAGGAAAAAAUUUAAAAUGUCGAUGACGAGGCAUCUAGACCUGUGUAUUAUUGUUCAAAAAAUACUUGGCAGUGAUAUUAGACCUCAGAUACUUAGUGAAUGUGUUAGCGCGUUGCUUAACUAGUUUGUCAAUGUGGCAUUAAACAACUCAAGAUUGACCAUCUACAUAUGACCAUUCCAAAAUGUUGCCACACAACGUUCAUACGAAACCAACAUGAUAGAGAGCUAGUUAUAUGAUUUGGAUUUAAAUGAGCUAGUUAUAUGUCCAUCUAAAAUAGGAAGUGCUUCUAUCAGCUUUGCUUUUUAAAUUAAUACAUCCAUAGACUGUUAAUGCUGGGGUGGAAUGGAAUUGUAAGAGAAAUGUUUACCAGGAAAUUCAGUGAGCAUAUAAACAAUUGAAAUGAUAUACAAUAAGCCAGUUCAAAAGAGAAGUGACAAUGUCAGGAGGGAUCAAGAGAACAGGAUAGUUCUCACCAAUGCAAAAAUAAAUAAAUGAUACUCCCUUGGUUCACAAAUUGUUCUAACUUUUUCUGAAUCAGAUGUAUAUAGACACGUUAGUGGGUUUGUUCACUCAUUUCAGUCUGUAUGCGAGAUAUCCAGAACAUCUUAUAGAUUACAGAUCAUGAGCACUAUAAUCAUGGGCAUGCACAUAAUGUAAUGUCCUAAUAGGACAAGUUACAGGACGGGGAAGCACUCCUUGGCGGGCAUUUAUGUUUGAGCAAUCAUAGAAAAACAGUAGUGUUUGUAUAGGAACACCAACUGGAAUGGAUGGAUCACCCACUGAUGAACACCGAGGGAACAUUAAAGUUCAGCCUACAGUUUCUAGGGGAAAUGUACUGUCCAUACUACCAGAUCAAGUCAAAAGAGAAAUUCCUCAUAUUUUGCAGAGUCGGCGUUAACUCCAGAGCCCCUAAGGUGGUACGAAGAAUUAUCAUGUAAAAGUGUUUGUACUUAGCAACGUACUCCCUCUGUAAAGAAAUAUAAGACAUUGAGCAUAUACCUUGAGCUGUCUAAUCAAACUCCUUCAAACACGCAACCUUAGGAUGAGCUCUGUUGAAAUGCUCUGUUCACAGGACAGUUGUUAUGCGUGUAUAGGAUGAG
rnacentral:lncRNA from 1 species